rnacentral:rRNA from 1 species
AUGCAAAAUGGACGUAUCACUGCACGACUGCCAAGAUGGAAGGGCAUAAGCAUGCCGAAGAGCGGCACGAUGGUUCUUGUUCAAUCAAUGCUCAAUGCAAUACUAUUGCAUGUGAUGAUGGCCUUGCACAUACCGAUGAAAACGAUCAAGGUGAUGAUUAAGAUUUGUCGAUGCUUCUUAUGGUGUGGGACAGCGGAAGCAAAUGGGGGACAUUGUUUGGUUGCUUGGGAGGAAGUAUGCUCGCCAAGGUGGGCCGGUGGACUCGGCAUUCCAAACUUGAAGUGGCUAAACGCGGCGAUGCAGGCCAGAUGGUUGUGGUUGAAGUGGACCAACCUCUCAAGGCCAUGGGUGGAAUUCGAUAUUACAGUUCUAUAG